GGCCGUGUGGCUCAAUGGUAGAGUAUUCGUUUACGAUUCACCGUAGACUGCGAAAGGUUGCAGGUUCGAGUCCUGUCUCGGUCG
rnacentral:tRNA from 1 species